GCCAUCGUGGUGUGAGGAGGGCUCCACAGAGGUUGGUUCUUCACAGUAAGUGUCCUUGGCACUCAGGGUGCAGGAUAGGAAGAGACCAACUUCACCAGGAGGCUUUGGAGCAAGCGCCCUGGGCCUUGAUGCGCCUGAAAGCUUGUGUGGAGAAAAAGAUCCUCCCACUCCCGGCUCCCCUUUCCUAAAAAUCCGAGACAAAGCUCAAUGGUCUUGUCCGGUGUCCACCCCCACUCCCCCCAGUGUUCGUCUCCCAGGAAAGCGCCCCACACUGGGCGUCCCGGGAGGUUGGGCCCAAGAGACACAUCAGCAGGAAGGUGCCUGCUUGUUUAGCAUCAAGUUACUUCAGAAAGGACCUAGAAUAGUCAAAACCACAGAGAAGGAUCUGACUGUGUGGCUCUGGAUGCUGCCUUGCCCUCCCGAGUGCUGGAAUGGCAGUGCUUUGAUACCAUGCCCAGCUACCAGUUCUUGUGAUUCUUAUGAUACCUCAUCAGGGUGGAGUUUGGUAGCUUUGGAAGCCUGUUCCAAGAGAGAAAACCAGCCCGUAUGCUUAUAGACUUAAACAGGAGCCUAGCAAAACUCUCUCCUGAGAUGCUUCAUCCAAGCAGCAAAUAGAAACAGAUGCAGAGACCCACAGACAAACAUCAGGUGGAGCUCAGAAACCCUGGUGUGAAGGCAGCAGAAUCAGUAACUCUCCACUGGCAACAAAGCUGGAGCUGUGUCCUUGCAGGAGGAGAGCGUUGGCUGGGAAGAAGCUGAACGCCCAUCCUCUUUAAUGUUAGGAAGCUCUGAGAAGCUCUGAGAAGAAGAGUCUUGGCCCAGAGCGUCAUAAUGAAGUUGCUUUGGCGAGCUUCCUUUUUAAGACCUUUGGCUGUGGGUGAGCUAUGUGACCUGGGAAAUGUAAGGCAAGCUGUUGUUGCAGAUGUAGCCCAGACACAGGGCACACAAAGCCGCUGAGCUUUUGUCCUUUCAGAAACUGCAACUCUAUGAUCCAACAAAAGCAGCUUUUAAGUUUAAGUCAUCUGACAGUUUAUGUGAGGUGACAAUAAGUUAAUUUAAUAGAUGUUUAUUUUCCUCAUUUUAGAGAUGUCAUUAAUUCUAGCUUAUGUUCGAAUUCAAUAUAAUAUUUGUGCAAAACACAAAUGAAUUGUAUAUACAGUUUGUGACAGUUAGUUUUAAUUGUCAACUUGACAUAACCCAGGAUCACAUGGGAAAGGAAUCUCAGUGAGGGAUGGUCUACAUCAGAUUGGCCUGUGGGCACAUCUAAGUGGGAUUGUCUUGAUUGCCUGUGUUUAUGUGAAAAUCCAGGCCAGCAUAAAUAGCACUGCUCCCGAGACAAGAGGUCAUGCAUAUGGAGCCAAGCACAGGCAAGCAAGCAAGCAAGCAAGCAAGCAAGCAAGCAAGCAAGCAAGCAAGCAUUCAUCUCUCUUCUUGACCAUGGUUGCAAUGUGAUAGACUAUAACCUGGAAGCAUAAGCCAGGGAGAUCCUUUUUCCCCUACUUUAAUUUUUGUCAGGAUAUGCUUAUCACAGCAACAGAAAUUGAACUAUAUUAGCAUUUAUUCCUGUUAAUCCUGUUGUCUACAAAAAAAAAAAAAAACCCAGUAAGAAUAAGUUAUCAAAUACUGGAUAGUGCAUUUUCAGGAAAUACAGGGUUGUGUUCCUUUUAGUCUCUGAUCACUUGUUCGCCAACAGACUAAUUCAUAACCUUGAUGUUUCUGUCUUUAUGUUCAGCGGUACUACUUAGUAUGUGUUGUUGAUUCAUUGGCAUGGGACUCACGGUCAACAGCAUUGUAGCUCAUGCCUUGGUGAAGGCUGCCUGACACACAUACCCUUCACUGGCACACCACAGCUUCCUUGUACUUAGAAAUAUGAAAUGGUACUUCAGCACCAGCUCAGGGGUCAUUUUACAUGUCAGAAUCCCCACACAAAAGUGCAAAAAUAAAAAAAAAAACUGUGGUGUCGUUAGAGUGUGAAAGAACACUUGUUCAUGGUGUGGAAACUGGAUUGUGAAGUCAGAAGUUUGCUUGGUUCAUCAAAUUUGAGGAUGUAUGGAUGGGUCAUUUCCUGUCUCUAUGGACACAGGGAGGAUUGAUUUGCAGGCUACAAAUCCUUUUGACAGAUGGGCAAACUCACAAAUGUGGAAUCCUUGAAACAUAAAAAAAAAUCCACCAUUGGGGCUCGAGAGAUGACUCAGUGGUUAAGAACACUGAUUGCUCGUCCAGAGGUCCUGAGUUCAAUUCCCAGCAACCACAUGGUGGCUCACAACCAUCUGUAAUAGAAUCUGGUGCCUUCUUCUGGUGUGUCUGAAGACAGCUACAGUGUGUUCAUAUACAUUAAAUAAAUACAUUUUUAAGAAAAGAAUUCAC
rnacentral:lncRNA from 1 species